AUCCAGCUGUCGAGUCCCAAAUAGGACGAAACACGCGUCAAACUGGAU
rfam:Schistosoma rodhaini strain Burundi genome assembly, scaffold: SROB_scaffold0003271